GCGGGAAUAGCUCAGUUGGUAGAGCACGACCUUGCCAAGGUCGGGGUCGCGAGUUCGAGUCUCGUU
rnacentral:tRNA from 2 species